UAAUUUAGUGGAAGAUCAUGGGUUUAUAAUUGAGGAAUACUACCUCCAUUGGUAGGAGGCCUUUUGGGAAAGCCCAAAGCAAAGCCAUGAGAGCUUAUGCUCAAAUGGACAAUAUCAUACCAUUGUGGAG